GUGUGAGAUCGUGCUCCUUUUAUUUAGCCUCCAAGGCUGGUUGGCACUUUCCUCUAAUUACCUCCACUUAGCUGUCCGUGUCGGGGUACCCAGCUCCCGUAUUCCCAGCAGAGGGAGCCAACGUCGCCUCACGUAGCUCCCCUCUAUUACCAUCCCCGGGAUAGACCUCCUGGGAUACCACACCCCCCCUUAGCCUUGACUGGAUAGGAAGGCAUGCUCAGGGCUAGGUUUGCAUUUGAAACAAUAUCCACAAUGACCAUGUUUUACACUCAGUUUCAACCUGCUGUUGAACUUCUUUCUUCAAAUUGAUCAUCACAGUGAGGGACAACAGAUCCCUGAGUACAUUAGAAAGUUGGGUACUACCAAAGCAUGUCCAGAGUACCGGAGAUUACCAUGACUCAAUGGUCAUGUGGAAUUUUACUGCGGUCAUGACUCAUGGCUAACAGUGUUGUGGGGGUGGAUCAGCUUUAAUAUUGCGGAUAGAUUGUUGCUUCCAUCAAUGAAGUGAUGUCACUGAGCACUGCCCCUGUAUAUAGGACCUUCCACUCCCACCUGGGAUAUGGAUAGCUGAUGAAGACCUAUUGGUUGAGAUGUUGUAUCAAAAAAAUCACCUGGGAGCAUGAAUAGCAGUGUACAGUGUUUUUAUUUUUCUAUUUUUUAUGAGUUCCCCUAGAAUUCCAGCACCUGCAAAAAAGUACCUGGAUGUGCGUAUGUAUUUCAGCUUUUGUUCAUUUGGAAAAUGAACAUGUGAUAAAUACAUGUGAAACUUUGCACAUACAGUGCAAUACCAGUCAAAAGUUUGGACACACAUACUCAUUCAAGGGUUUUUCUUUUUCUCUACAUUGUAGAAUAAUAUUGAAGACAUUAAAACUAUGAAAUAACACAUAUGGAAUCACGUAGUAACCAAAAAAAUGUUAAAGAGAUCCUUUAAUGUUGCCACCUUUUCCCUUGAUGAUAGCUUUGCACACUCUUGGCUGUCUCUCAACCACCUUCAUGAGGUAGUCACCUGGAUUACGUGUCAAAUAACAGGUGUGCCUUGUUAAAAGUUAGAGCCAAUCAGUUGUAACAAGGUAGGGGUGGUAUACAGAACAUAGCCCCAUUUGACAAAAGACCAAGUCAAUAUUAUGGCAAGAACAGCUCAAAUAAGCAAAGAGAAACGACAGUCUAUCAUUACUUUAAGACAUAAAGGUCAGUCAAUACGGAAAAUGUCAAGAACUUUGAAAGUUUCUUCAAGUGCAGUUGCAAAAACCAUCAAGCGCUAUGAUGAAACUGGCUCUCAUGAGUAACUCUGCUGAGUUAACUCUGCAGCAGAGGAAAAGUUCAUUACAUUUAACAGCACCUCAGAUUGCAGCCCAAAUAAUUGCUUCACAGAGUUCAAGUAACAGACACAUCUCAACGUCAACUGUUCAGAGACUGCAUGAAUCAGGCCUUCAUGGACAAAUUGCUGCAAAGAAACACCAAUAAGAAGAAGAGACUUGCAUGGGCCAAGAAACAUGAGAAAUGGACAUUAGACCAGUGGAAAUCUGUCCUUUGGUCUGAUGAGUCCAAAUUUGAGAUUUUUGUUUCCAACCACCGUGUCUAUGUGAAAAGCAGAGUAGGUGAACAGAUGAUCUCCGCAUCUGUGGUUCCCACCGUGAAGCAUGGAGGAGGAGGUGUGAUGGUGUGGUGAUGCUUUGCUGGUGACACUGUCUGUGAUUUAUUUAGAAUUCAAGGCACACUUAACCCGCAUGGCUACCACAGCAUUCUGCAUCGUUAUGCCAUCCCAUCUAGUUUGCGCUGAGUGGGACUAUUAUUUGUUUUUCAACAG
rnacentral:lncRNA from 1 species